rnacentral:rRNA from 1 species
CACGUAGUUAGCCGGUGCUUCUUCUGCAGGUACCGUCACUUACGCUUCGUCCCUGCUGAAAGAGGUUUACAACCCGAAGGCCGUCAUCCCUCACGCGGCGUCGCUGCAUCAGGCUUCCGCCCAUUGUGCAAUAUUCCCCACUGCUGCCUCCCGUAGGAGUCUGGGCCGUAUCUCAGUCCCAAUGUGGCCGAUCACCCUCUCAGGCCGGCUACCCGUCGUCGCCUUGGUAGGCCAUCACCCCACCAACAAGCUGAUAGGCCGCGGGCUCAUCCUACACCGAAAAACUUUCCACCAAACCCCAUAAGGAGAAAGGUCAUAUCCAGUAUUAGACCCAGUUUCCCAGGCUUAUCCCAGAGUGCAGGGCAGAUUACCCACGUGUUACUCACCCGUUCGCCACUCGAGUACUCCAGCAAGCUGGAGCCUUUCCGUUCGACUUGCAUGUGUUAAGCACGCCGCCAGCGUUCGUCCUGAGCCAGGAUCAAACUCU